UUCUCCUCUUUCUUAAUGCUGUUUGAGUACGGACCUAAUCCAUAGGUCUUGAGGAGGGCAAUGUCAUCUUCGUCGAGAGGACGAGGAUUCUUCUCGUCCUUGAUCAGGUCGUCGUCUUCUGGUGCAGCCGCCGGCGCCAUUCGAUUUAAAUCUUAACAGCUUUCAAGAUUCGAGCUUCUAACGAAUAGAUAGAGGAAUCGGUACUGUGUUUUGAGUAGACGAUGCUCCAUCUCUUCUCUUUCAUAUAUAGAAUCUCUCCAG
rnacentral:misc_RNA from 1 species